rnacentral:rRNA from 1 species
AAACAUCGCCUCUUGAUUUCUGAUAAGAGGUCCAGCCUGCCCAGUGACCAUGUUCAACGGCCGCGGUAUCCUAACCGUGCGAAGGUAGCGUAAUCACUUGUUCUUUAAAUGUGGACUAGUAUGAACGGCUUCACGAAGGUUAUACUGUCUCCUUUUUCUAAUCAGUGAAACUAAUUUCCCCGUGAAGAAGCGGGGAUAAAGCUAUAAGACGAGAAGACCCUAUGGAGCUUAAAACGACACAGCACUUACCAAANAAUUUUUAAUGUUUCUGUANACACUNAAUUCUUUAAAGUAAAAUGACUGCAAGUUUUCGGUUGGGGUGACCACGGAGUAUAUCAUAACCUCCAUGUUGAAAGAAUUUCUUUCUAAGCCAAGAAUAACCAAUCUAAGCAUUAAUAAAUUAACAUCUAUUGACCCAAUAAAUUUGAUCAACGAACCAAGUUACCCUAGGGAUAACAGCGCAAUCCACUUCAAGAGCUCCUAUCGACAAGUGGGUUUACGACCUCGAUGUUGGAUCAGGGUAUCCCAGUGGUGCAGCCGCUACUAAAGGUUCGUUUGUUCAACGAUUAAAACCCUACGUGAUCUGAGUU